rnacentral:lncRNA from 1 species
UUUUGAAUGCACCGGAGAGGUCUUGUUUACAAAUUGUGCCUUUGAUUCUGUCCUCUGAUAACACUAUUUUUUGUUCUUAAAUAAUUGGCAUUAGUAGAAACCAGAUCAACUAAAGAAACCCCCAUGCACAGACUAGGGCUUUUAGGAAAGAGUCUCGAUCUAAUAUUUGAGCCAUUUGAGGGAUAUUCGAAGAAAACCAAUUGUGAAUUUUUCAUGAGGGAGGUGAGAGGGUCAUUUGGUGUCAAUUUGGGACCGAUUGGCAGCGGUGCCGCCGUGCACGACGGCGGAGUCAGAUCUUUCAGCUAAUAUUCAAGACGUUUGACUGUGUUUUGAGGGAAAGCAUGGGUGGAUUUGAGUAGUGGAGGGGGAGGAGAAGGGAUGGUGUUAAUUUGAUGGCGAUUGGGGUUCCGCUGCCGCCGUGGGCGAUUUUCGGCCGACCGGCGGACGGUGGAGGAUGGUAGCAUUAGGGUU